rnacentral:rRNA from 1 species
CUGAGAAAGUACGUAUGAGGUGAACCGAGCCCCCCCUAUAUCGAGUCAACCAUCUCGAGGCGAGAACGUUAACCCAGCAACGCUAAUGCCCAACCGACAGAUUAACAGGUCCGCCAUUACUAUCAUAGAACAUGGACUUGGCCACCGAGUGAAAAAGAUUCAUUACCCCUUCUCCUGACUUUGUACGGUGACUUUCUGAGAUGACUCUGUUUUUCUACCCGACAGUUUUUCCAUCUCCUCCAUCCUACCCGUCAACCAGUCUAGAUCAUACCUAGCAUGUACCUGCUAUCAACCUCAGCCGCCGAGAGGAUCCGAAGGGAGUAGACCCUAGGGACCCCUUCUCCUAGUUCAACCGGGAACGCUUAUUGAACUACGUGAUAGAGGGAAGUUGGGAAACUCGCUUUAGAUCGUUUUCCUUCCUUUUAGGUACCUGGCUGGGGUAACAGAGGUGGGGCAUCCUUGAUGCUCUAGUGGGGUUCCUGCGGGAGCCGCAGGUCCCCAGUGCCUGGCUGGUAUCUGGGACAAGUUAUUCACCUUGUGUAAUCGGCAGGCGAGAGGCCAACCCGUCAUUCCCAGCCUCUUCCCGUUAGUGAGCAAGAAUUUUGGUCGUAAGAAUUCUAGUUUCUCAGCCCGCCUUUUUCCCCUCUCGAGGGGCAAGGACCAAGAGGACAUUGACCUAAGGGGCCUUGGUGUUCUUAGGAAUCUUACCCUAAGGUUGAGUCGUGGAAAACAAAACUCUAAAACUCUUCUCAACGAGAAACCUCUCGUGUCAUGCUACUUUAAACAUUCGACACAAGCCCCCCCUCAAUAACAGAUAGCAACCGGAGAUACCAUCUUGGGCAGCCCCUCCGGACUCUCCGCCACCAAAUGGGACACCGCCUACAGUCGCCAAGCUCAGGCGAAUAGAGGUCGGGCACUUGAAUCGCCUAUGAUACUAUCGCUAUCGUGGCUUAAAACGGUUAAGCCGUCAAGCUAGAUACUAAAGUGUAAGUACCUGCAACUAUUCUAGGAAGAUAAAUCAUCGUGGAAUCCUACCGUAUCGGAAUUGCAAUUACCGCUCCAAGUUUUCUCCUUUCCGAACGCCACCUAUGGAUCCGUGGGUCUCUGCUCCUUCCCGCAUCGUUCGCUGCUUUACGAAGCCCCUCAACUUUUAUUCGUAUCUAGGCCUCUAAGGGUUUAUCCAGUUGGAAAAUUUGACGGACGACUUAGGUACUCGUCCGUUCUCUGUUGGACCGCUUGACUUUGUAGAAUC